CUUCGGGGGCCUAGUGGUAAGGUAUUGGCUUCGGGGGCCAGAAGGUUCCAGGUUCGAAACCCGAUUCCACUGAAGA